UACGUAGGGAGCGAGCGUUGUUCGGAGUUACUGGGCGUAAAGGGUGCGUAGGCGGUUGUUUAAGUUUGGUGUGAAAUCUCCCGGCUCAACUGGGAGGGUGCGCCGAAUACUGAAUGACUAGAGUGCGGGAGAGGAUAGUGGAAUUCCUGGUGUAGCGGUGAAAUGCGUAGAUAUCAGGAGGAACACCGGUGGUGUAGGCGGCUAUCUGGACCGUAACUGACGCUGAUGCGCGAAAGCGUGGGGAGCAAACGGG
rnacentral:rRNA from 1 species